rnacentral:rRNA from 1 species
GUAGGGUGCAAGCGUUAAUCGGAAUUACUGGGCGUAAAGCGUGCGCAGGCGGUCCGCUAAGACAGAUGUGAAAUCCCCGGGCUUAACCUGGGAACUGCAUUUGUGACUGGCGGGCUAGAGUAUGGCAGAGGGGGGUAGAAUUCCACGUGUAGCAGUGAAAUGCGUAGAGAUGUGGAGGAAUACCGAUGGCGAAGGCAGCCCCCUGGGCCAAUACUGACGCUCAUGCACGAAAGCGUGGGGGGAGCAAACAGGAUUAGAUACCCUGGUAGUCCACGCCCCUAAACGAUGUCAACUAGUUGUCGGGUCUUCAUUGACUUGGUAACGUAGCUAACGCGUGAAGUUGACCGCCUGGGAGUACGGUCGCAAGAUUA